GGUUUUACAGUCUUACGGAACCCGCUCAUUUGGACACGUAAACGCGAAACGACACCAUCCCAAGUUCCCAAACCAUCGUCAAAAUUCAUCGUUUUCCCCCAAAUCUCAAGAACCCUUAAGAAAACUUCCGGUUUUACGUUCGACAAUGGGCGGCCAUGAAGCUGUGGAGGUUACCAAGACCGUCCUCGAAGUCGCCGAUGUCGCAUGGGCUGCCUUGGAAUGUUGCCACCGCCACCACCACCACGACCAUCACGACGAUGCUCCCAGAAAUCAUGAGAACUCCAAACUUGAAAAGGAAUUGGAAAUCCUAAAAUCGGAAAACCGACGUUUGAGGAAUCAGCUUGAACAGAACCUUAAACUUCUGAAUAAUCUAUCUGAAUAUCCUGCUCUAUUAAACGAUUGUCCUCCUGACCUCCAUGCUCGGUUGAUGCUACCGUAGAUUCUAAAAACUUCUUGAGCCGGCUCAAAUCACUUAAUGAAUCCAGUACUAAAAUUGAGUUUCCAUUCAAGGAAGCUACAGGAGAUGAUAUACAUUCAGUUGAAGUUCUGAUUAAUGUUGACCAAAAAGAACCAAGUUGGUGGAUAUGGGUAACUGAUGAAAUGGUUCCAAGCAAUGUUGAAGAGUGGAGUGGAAUUGAUGAUGAGAA